GGAAAAGUAUAGUUACCGGACUUCAAAUCCGGUGUGGGGGCGUGAAGGCGUUCCCAGGUGGGUUCGAUUCCCAUGCGCUUCCGCCA
rnacentral:tRNA from 1 species